rnacentral:tRNA from 1 species
ACAGAUCAAGUUUAAUGGAAUUUUAAUUUUGGGAAUUAAAGGGUUUUCUGUA